rnacentral:rRNA from 1 species
GAUGAACGCUAGCGGCAGGCCUAAUACAUGCAAGUCGAACGGUGUAGCAAUACACAGUGGCGCACGGGUGCGUAACACGUAUGCAACCUACCUAUUAUUGGGGGAUAGCCUUUGGAAACGGAGAUUAAUACCGCAUAAGACAGUGACAUGGCAUCAUGUAGCUGUUAAAGCUUCGGCGAUAAUAGAUGGGCAUGCGUCCAAUUAGUUAGUUGGUGAGGUAAUGGCUCACCAAGACGAUGAUUGGUAGGGGAUCUGAGAGGAUAAUCCCCCACACUGGCACUGAGAUACGGGCCAGACUCCUACGGGAGGCAGCAGUAGGGAAUAUUGGGCAAUGGGCGGAAGCCUGACCCAGCCAUGCCGCGUGCAGGAUGACGGCGUUAUGCGUUGUAAACUGCUUUUUUAUAGGAAGAAGAAGCCCUUGCGAGGGAAAGUGACGGUACUAUAAGAAUAAGCACCGGCCAACUCCGUGCCAGCCGCCGCCGUAAAAC